rnacentral:rRNA from 1 species
UGAGAAGCUUGCUUCUCUGAUGUUAGCGGCGGACGGGUGAGUAACACGUGGGUAACCUACCUAUAAGACUGGGAUAACUCCGGGAAACCGGGGCUAAUACCGGAUAAUAUUUUGAACCGCAUGGUUCAAUAGUGAAAGACGGUUUCGGCUGUCACUUAUAGAUGGACCCGCGCCGUAUUAGCUAGUUGGUAAGGUAAUGGCUUACCAAGGCGACGAUACGUAGCCGACCUGAGAGGGUGAUCGGCCACACUGGAACUGAGACACGGUCCAGACUCCUACGGGAGGCAGCAGUAGGGAAUCUUCCGCAAUGGGCGAAAGCCUGACGGAGCAACGCCGCGUGAGUGAUGAAGGUCUUCGGAUCGUAAAACUCUGUUGUUAGGGAAGAACAAAUUUGUUAGUAACUGAACAAGUCUUGACGGUACCUAACCAGAAAGCCACGGCUAACUACGUGCCAGCAGCCGCGGUAAUACGUAGGUGGCAAGCGUUAUCCGGAAUUAUUGGGCGUAAAGCGCGCGUAGGCGGUUUCUUAAGUCUGAUGUGAAAGCCCACGGCUCAACCGUGGAGGGUCAUUGGAAACUGGGAAACUUGAGUGCAGAAGAGGAGAGUGGAAUUCCAUGUGUAGCGGUGAAAUGCGCAGAGAUAUGGAGGAACACCAGUGGCGAAGGCGGCUCUCUGGUCUGUAACUGACGCUGAUGUGCGAAAGCGUGGGGAUCAAACAGGAUUAGAUACCCUGGUAGUCCACGCCGUAAACGAUGAGUGCUAAGUGUUAGGGGGUUUCCGCCCCUUAGUGCUGCAGCUAACGCAUUAAGCACUCCGCCUGGGGAGUACGACCGCAAGGUUGAAACUCAAAGGAAUUGACGGGGACCCGCACAAGCGGUGGAGCAUGUGGUUUAAUUCGAAGCAACGCGAAGAACCUUACCAAAUCUUGACAUCCUUUGACCGCUCUAGAGAUAGAGUCUUCCCCUUCGGGGGACAAAGUGACAGGUGGUGCAUGGUUGUCGUCAGCUCGUGUCGUGAGAUGUUGGGUUAAGUCCCGCAACGAGCGCAACCCUUAAGCUUAGUUGCCAUCAUUAAGUUGGGCACUCUAGGUUGACUGCCGGUGACAAACCGGAGGAAGGUGGGGAUGACGUCAAAUCAUCAUGCCCCUUAUGAUUUGGGCUACACACGUGCUACAAUGGAUAAUACAAAGGGCAGCGAAUCCGCGAGGCCAAGCAAAUCCCAUAAAAUUAUUCUCAGUUCGGAUUGUAGUCUGCAACUCGACUACAUGAAGCUGGAAUCGCUAGUAAUCGUAGAUCAGCAUGCUACGGUGAAUACGUUCCCGGGUCUUGUACACACCGCCCGUCACACCACGAGAGUUUGUAACACCCGAAGCCGGUGGAGUAACCUUUUAGGAGCUAG